rnacentral:rRNA from 1 species
UGGGGGAUAUUGCACAAUGGGCGAAAGCCUGAUGCAGCGACGCCGCGUGGGGGAUGAAGGCCUUCGGGUUGUAAACUUCUUUUGCUCUGAACAAGGCAUGCCUUUGGGGUGUGUUGAGUGUAGGGGGUGAUUAGCGCCGGCUAACUACGUGCCAGCAGCCGCGGUAAUACGUAGGGCGCGAGCGUUGUCCGGAAUUAUUGGGCGUAAAGGGCUUGUAGGUGGCUGGUUGCGUCUGUCGUGAAAGCUCAUGGCUUAACUGUGGGUUUGCGGUGGGUACGGGCUGGCUUGCGUGCAGUAGGGGAGGCUGGAAUUCCUGGUGUAGCGGUGGAAUGCGCAGAUAUCAGGAGGAAUACCGGUGGCGAAGGCGGGUCUCUGGGCUGUUACUGACGCUGAGGAGCGAAAGCGUGGGGAGCGAACAGG